rnacentral:piRNA from 1 species
UGACGAUGAACGAGAUGUUGUUCCUGC